rnacentral:rRNA from 1 species
UGGUGGAGUGAUUUGUCUGGUUAAUUCCGUUAACGAACGAGACCUCGACCUGCUAAAUAGUCUGCGUCGUCUUCGACGGCGUACCGACUUCUUAGAGGGACUAUCGGUGUGUAGCCGAUGGAAGUUCGAGGCAAUAACA